rnacentral:rRNA from 1 species
GAUUAACGCUAGCGGCAGGCAUAAUACAUGCAAGUUGAACGGCAGCACAGGUAGCAAUACUGGGUGGCGAGUGGCGCACGGGUGCGUAACACGUAUGCAACCUACCCUAUACAGGCGAAUAACCUUUAGAAAUAAGGGCUAAUACGCCGUAGUAUUACAGAUGGGCAUCUAUUUGUAAUUAAAGAUUUAUCGGUAUAGGAUGGGCAUGCGUCCCAUUAGUUAGUUGGUAAGGUAACGGCUUACCAAGACGAUGAUGGGUAGGGGAUCUGAGAGGACUUACCCCCACACUGGUACUGAGACACGGACCAGACUCCUACGGGAGGCAGCAGUAAGGAAUAUUGGGCAAUGGCCGCGAGGCUGACCCAGCCAUGCCGCGUGCAGGAAGACGGCCUUAUGGGUUGUAAACUGCUUUUAUACGGGAAUAAUAGAGUGUACGCGUACAUUUAUGCAAGUAUCGUAUGAAUAAGCAUCGGCUAACUCCGUG